rnacentral:tRNA from 1 species
CAAAAUGUAGUUUAAAAAAACAUUCCGCUUACACCUGAAAGACCCCUGACAAACCAGGACAUUUUGA